rnacentral:lncRNA from 1 species
AAAAUAUUGAUUAAAAUUAAAUUUUAAAUUUAGAUUUAGUUUAUAUUAUAUUUAAAAGAAUAAAAUUUGUUAACUAUUUAAACUAAAUGAUUUUAUGUUUGAAAAUUAACUUUAGAUUAUAAAUCUGAAUUUACAAAGAUGACAUGUUAUGAGAAUGGCAUAUUCUAAAUUUACAAAGAUGGCAUAUUAUGAGAAUAAAAAUUUACCAAAAUGCCCUCAUUGCAAUCUCUAUGCAAUGAAAAUAUUGUUUGCCCUCGUUAAAGAGGUGACUGGUACCGAUGGCAUCAAGUGCCAGUCACCAUCUUUUAAUAGAUGCAUCAUUACCGUCCAUUUAAAAAAUUUUAAUGGUUAAGAUUUGUUUGGUGUAUAGGAGCAUUCCUCAAAUUAUUUUGAGAGCAGAAUCAUAUACCAUCCGCUUUAUUUAUUAAAAAAAUAAAUUGGAAAAAAAAAACGUGUAGGCCUCCUAAAAAAGAAAAAUAUGGUAAAAAAGUUUUUUUUUUUUUGAGAAAAGGUAGCGUGCUACCGCUUCAUUCAUAAAGAAGUUGAACUAAGCAACAAGCUGAGGCAGCUGGGCCUCCCAGAGAAAAAGAAAAAAAAGAGAAAAAGGAAAAAAGAAAGGAAAAAAGGAA